rnacentral:rRNA from 1 species
ACGAAGGGGGCUAGCGUUGCUCGGAAUUACUGGGCGUAAAGGGAGCGUAGGCGGACAUUUAAGUCAGGGGUGAAAUCCCGGGGCUCAACCUCGGAAUUGCCUUUGAUACUGGGUGUCUUGAGUAUGAGAGAGGUAUGUGGAACUCCGAGUGUAGAGGUGAAAUUCGUAGAUAUUCGGAAGAACACCAGUGGCGAAGGCGACAUACUGGCUCAUUACUGACGCUGAGGCUCGAAAGCGUGGGGAGCAAACAGG